rnacentral:rRNA from 1 species
AUUGAACGCUGGCGGCGUGCCUAAUACAUGCAAGUCGAACGGAGUGGCGCACGGGUGAGUACUGUAUAGCUCAUCUGCCCUACACUAGAGGACAACAGUUGGAAACGACUGCUAAUCCUCUAUAGUGUAGGAUGAGGCUAUAUUGUAUCCGAUAGUUGGUGAGUUAAUGGCUCACCAAGGCUAUGACGCAUAACUGGUGUGAGAGGAUGAUCAGUCACACUGGAAGUGAGACACGGUCAAGACUCCUACGGGAGGAAGCAGUAGGGAAGAGUGCACAAUGGGGGAAACCCUGAAGCAGCAACGCCGCGUGGAGGAUGACACUUUUCGGAGCGUAAACUCAUUUUGUUAGGGAAGCGGUACCUAACGAAUAAGCACCGGCUAACUCCGUGCCAGCCGCCGCGGUAAUUC